rnacentral:rRNA from 1 species
UUCGCCCUUAGAGUUUGAUCCUGGCUCAGGACGAACGCUGGCGGCGCGCCUAACACAUGCAAGUCGAACGGAGCUUAGAGAGCUUGCUUUUUAAGCUUAGUGGCGAACGGGUGAGUAACGCGUGAGUAACCUGCCCUAGAGUGGGGGACAACAGUUGGAAACGACUGCUAAUACCGCAUAAGCCCACGGUGCCGCAUGGCACUGAGGGAAAAGGAUUUAUUCGCUUUAGGAUGGACUCGCGUCCAAUUAGCUAGUUGGUGAGGUAACGGCCCACCAAGGCGACGAUUGGUAGCCGGACUGAGAGGUUGAACGGCCACAUUGGGACUGAGACACGGCCCAGACUCCUACGGGAGGCAGCAGUGGGGGAUAUUGCACAAUGGGGGAAACCCUGAUGCAGCGACGCCGCGUGGAGGAAGAAGGUUUUCGGAUUGUAAACUCCUGUCGUUAGGGACGAUAAUGACGGUACCUAACAAGAAAGCACCGGCUAACUACGUGCCAGCAGCCGCGGUAAAACGUAGGGUGCAAGCGUUGUCCGGAAUUACUGGGUGUAAAGGGAGCGCAGGCGGGAAGACAAGUUGGAAGUGAAAUCUAUGGGCUCAACCCAUAAACUGCUUUCAAAACUGUUUUUCUUGAGUAGUGCAGAGGUAGGCGGAAUUCCCGGUGUAGCGGUGGAAUGCGUAGAUAUCGGGAGGAACACCAGUGGCGAAGGCGGCCUACUGGGCACCAACUGACGCUGAGGCUCGAAAGUGUGGGUAGCAAACAGGAUUAGAUACCCUGGUAGUCCACACCGUAAACGAUGAUUACUAGGUGUUGGAGGAUUGACCCCUUCAGUGCCGCAGUUAACACAAUAAGUAAUCCACCUGGGGAGUACGACCGCAAGGUUGAAACUCAAAGGAAUUGACGGGGGCCCGCACAAGCAGUGGAGUAUGUGGUUUAAUUCGAAGCAACGCGAAGAACCUUACCAGGUCUUGACAUCGUAUGCAUAGUCUAGAGAUAGAUGAAAUCCCUUCGGGGACAUAUAGACAGGUGGUGCAUGGUUGUCGUCAGCUCGUGUCGUGAGAUGUUGGGUUAAGUCCCGCAACGAGCGCAACCCUUACCAUUAGUUGCUACGCAAGAGCACUCUAAUGGGACUGCCGUUGACAAAACGGAGGAAGGUGGGGAUGACGUCAAAUCAUCAUGCCCCUUAUGACCUGGGCUACACACGUACUACAAUGGCAAUAAAACAGAGGGAAGCAAAACAGCGAUGUGGAGCAAAUCCCGAAAAAUUGUCUCAGUUCAGAUUGCAGGCUGAAACUCGCCUGCAUGAAGUCGGAAUUGCUAGUAAUCGCAGAUCAGCAUGCUGCGGUGAAUACGUUCCCGGGCCUUGCACACACCGCCCGUCA